ACGCUGGCGGCAUGCCUAACACAUGCAAGUCGAACGAGAAAGUUCCUUCGGGAGCGAUUAAAGUGGCGCACGGGUGAGUAACGCGUAGACAAUCUGCCCUUCAGUCUGGGACAACUUUUCGAAAGGAGAGCUAAUACCGGAUGACAAUGUAACACAUAAGUGUCACAUUUGAAAGCUCCGGCGCUGAAGGAGGGGUCUGCGUCCCAUUAGCUAGUUGGUAAGGUAAAGGCUUACCAAGGCGACGAUGGGUAGCGGGUUUGAGAGGACGAUCCGCCACACUGGAACUGAGACACGGUCCAGACUCCUACGGGAGGCAGCAGUGGGGAAUAUUGCACAAUGGAGGCAACUCUGAUGCAGCAAUGUCGCGUGAGUGAAGAAGGCCCUUGGGUCGUAAAGCUCUUUUAUGGGGGAAGAUGAUGACGGUACCCCAAGAAUAAGCACCGGCUAACUACGUGCCAGCAGCCGCGGUAAUACGUAGGGUGCGAGCGUUGUUCGGAAUUACUGGGCGUAAAGGGCGCGCAGGCGGAAUAGUAAGUCGGAGGUGAAAGCCCGGGGCUCAACCCCGGAGGGUCUUUCGAAACUGCUAAUCUAGAGAGGGUCAGGGGCCAGCAGAAUUCUUGGUGUAGAGGUGAAAUUCGUAGAUAUCAAGAGGAAUACCGGUGGCGAAAGCGGCUGGCUGGGGCCACUCUGACGCUGAGGCGCGAAAGCGUGGGGAGCAAACAGGAUUAGAUACCCUGGUAGUCCACGCCGUAAACGAUGAGCACUGGAUGUCCGGAGGGUUCGACCCUUCUGGGUGUCUCAGCUAACGCAUUAAGUGCUCCGCC
rnacentral:rRNA from 1 species